UAGGGAAUCUUCCGCAAUGGGCGAAAGCCUGACGGAGCAACGCCGCGUGAGUGAUGAAGGUCUUCGGAUCGUAAAACUCUGUUAUUAGGGAAGAAUAAAUGUGUAAGUAACUAUGCACGUCUUGACGGUACCUAAUCAGAAAGCCACGGCUAACUACGUGCCAGCAGCCGCGGUAAUACGUAGGUGGCAAGCGUUAUCCGGAAUUAUUGGGCGUAAAGCGCGCGUAGGCGGUUUUUUAAGUCUGAUGUGAAAGCCCACGGCUCAACCGUGGAGGGUCAUUGGAAACUGGAAAACUUGAGUGCAGAAGAGGAAAGUGGAAUUCCAUGUGUAGCGGUGAAAUGCGCAGAGAUAUGGAGGAACACCAGUGGCGAAGGCGACUUUCUGGCCAUAAUCUGACGCUGAGGUACGAAAGCGUGGGUAGCAAACAGG
rnacentral:rRNA from 1 species